UUGAUCUGGUACCAAGCUGACUCAUGAGCGCUUUUGUAACUGGAUACCACAGAGCAGUCGUGUUCUCUCCUGCGCUGUUCCCUGAAAUAUCCCCGAGCUAAACACGCACAUUGGAACGCCCUCGAACCACAUACCUCAUUUUGAUGUAACUUUCUUUCCUGUCUGGAGACCGAAAAACUGUGGAGCGAAUACUUUUUUUUGUCAAGAUGAAGUUUUGCUUGCUACCCGCUGUACUUCUCCUGGUGACUGGGGCAUUGACGCAGGACGAAUUUAACCUGUUUGAUGCGCUCGAUGACGUAGACCCAACACCACCACAACCAAAAGAGCAACCAAAAUCCCCAGACAAUACUAAUCUUGAUGAUGGUCUGAAACUUUUUGAUGCCUUAGGACCAGAUGAACCAGAACCUGAGAAACCUAAGAAGCCAAAGAAUACUGGAGAUUCUGAUGGCUUUGGAUUUGAUCUCGACGACGCUCUUAAACCAGACCCAAAUGCCAAACCUGACACACCUGUGGUCAACCCACCAAAGCGUGGUGGAGGGGGUGGUAACUUUGAUGACAAUGACUUAUUUGACAUAAGUGAUGGUGGAAACUCCAACCCUGAUGACGGUACGGACGUUUCGGAGAUUCUAACUAUAACCAUGCAGGUGGUGCUGAUCAGCCUCAAGAGGCCGGUUCCGGAAAAAUCGCGGGAAUCGUCAGCGCUAUCGGGGUGGCUCUUUUAGGAGCGGCAUCCAGUUACUUUGCUUACCAGAAGAAAAAACUGUGUUUCAAGAUACAGGGAGGCGCUGACCCAGAAAGUGGUAAAUCACAUCCAACGCAGUCUAACCCUCAAGUUUACAGCAACUUGCUCAGGACGUCCUAGACAGCCCCUUCUCCGCAAAAAACAAGCCUCCUUGACGGAACGACGACUAAAGUGUCCGUGUUUCUUUGUACCAUAGUAUCGUCUCUCAUAUUUCUGCUGCUUGAUGUUUGGCUUUUUUAUCUUGGCGGAUACAUUUUAGCAGCUUUAUCAUGUAAUGGUAACACUUCUGCAAGGACACCUUAAGCUGUCAUUUCAGAAGACCGUGUUGUACUUUUUUGUUAUUGUCCGAAUGUCAUGUGUCAUAAAAAUGUUUUGUGUAUGAAGGUUUUUUUUUUUUUUUUUUAAAUAACUAAUAGAAGUAUUGAAAAGCAGGGGCGGAGCCAGAACUUUUUCAGUGGCGUGGGCCGGAGUGCCACAACCACUCAAAGGUGCUUUGAAUAAUGGAUCACAGUUGCACAAUGUGAAGACAUCGCAAAUUAUUGCCCAGUUAAGGUUUCAUUAAAUAAAAUGCAUGUUUAUCCACCUUACCCAACACACUAAUAAUACUAUCAAGAAAAAAAAAAAAGAGUAAAAAGCAACAUUUUGCGCAAUUAAA